rnacentral:misc_RNA from 1 species
CGCACCUUGCGCCCUUUGGUAUUCCGAAGGGCAUGCCUGUUUGAGUAUCAUUAAUACCUCACUCUUGAAUUCCUCUGUGAAGUCAAGCAAGUGGAUGUUGGAGGGUUUUGCAGGCCAUCUCUGGUCAGCUCCUCUUAAAUGAAUUAGCGGAACUCUAUGCAGUACCAGCCUCGGUUUGAUAAUCCUAUCUAUGCUGUCGCUGUUGGACUGUGCUGUUUGGCUUACAACCGUCUUUGGACUGUCGCUCACGUGGCAUAACACCAAUCUUGAUCUCAAAUCAGGUAGGACUACCCGCUGAACUUAA